CGUCACAUCCUUUCUUCCCAAGAGUAGAAGCUGGUCACACGUCCUACACGUUGCUGUAUUACUUGAGGACUGUGCUCUGUCCAGCAUAGGUCUGCUGUCCCCUGUGUGGCCUGGCUGGUUUGGGAAUGGUCUUCGAUGACCUGGAUUGGGUAAUCAGGGCUUUGACUCACUUGGAGGUGCUGUGGUCUUGGUAAAGGUCCUGACCUUGAGUUGAACCAGCGCUGCUCAGGCCUUUGUGCUGCUGUGGGAGGGUCUACUCUCAAGCUGUGUUACAUGUGCCUUUUGACCUCUAGUUCAUCAGUCAUCUUUUUGAGAUGGAAUUGAGUUUUAUAUACUGGCUCUUCCCUCAGCACUGCUUAUUUGGAGCACAAAAUCAAUAGCUGAAACGCAACGAGCCAGAUGAAGAUUGCUGCAGGAAGGGAUCAUGGCGUUUGCUACUGGAAAUGGAUGACAUGAGAAGUGCAGAUGAAUAAAAACUGGUCCAAAGAUUGCCACUGGACAACGGUGACAUGAGAAGUGCGAAUGGAAAAAUAUCUGGUCAAAUGAUUGCCACUGGACAACGGUGACAUGAGAAGUGCAAAUGAAAAAUAACUGGUCCAAAGAUUGCCACUGGACAAGGGUGACAUGAGAAAUGCAAAUGAAAAAUAAUUGGUCGAAUGAUUGCCACUGGACAACGUUGACAUGAGAAGUGCAAAUGGAAAAAUAUCUGGUCAAAUGAUUGCCACUGGACAACGGUGACAUGAGAAGUGCAAAUGAAAAAUAACUGGUCCAAAGAUUGCCACUGGACAAGGGUGACAUGAGAAAUGCAAAUGAAAAAUAAUUGGUCGAAUGAUUGCCACUGGACAACGUUGACAUGAGAAGUGCAAAUGGAAAAAUAUCUGGUACAAGGAUCACCACUUAGAAAACAGUGACCUGAAAAGUGCAGAUGACUUGAGGUUGCGUGGGUUUGCACAAAAUGCAAGAUCUGCAUGCGGGAUUCUUCCAGCGUAAGGUCCCUCUGGUGCAAGGAGUCCAGGUCACAGAGAGCACAGGGAAACACUGCAUCGGGUGGAAAAACAAGCGCAGAGGCCCCUGCAUUCCCAAGACAAACUUUCUCAUUCCCAAGCUCAGGAACAUGCUCUCACUGUAACGGGAGCAUGAUUCUAACUAUAAACUAGUUAUGAAGUGCUAAAAGGUGACUGGGUUAUGAUUAAUGUACAUAUUGAAAUAAAGUCUCAUUGAAACAUUUA